AACGAACGCUGGCGGCAUGCCUAACACAUGCAAGUCGAACGAGACCUUCGGGUCUAGUGGCGCACGGGUGCGUAACGCGUGGGAAUCUGCCCUUCGGUUGGGAAUAACUGAGCGAAAUUUCAGCUAAUACCUUAUAAUGUCUUCGGACCAAAGAUUUAUCGCCGAGGGAUGAGCCCGCGUAGGAUUAGGUAGUUGGUGGGGUAAUGGCCUACCAAGCCGACGAUCCUUAGCUGGUCUGAGAGGAUGAUCAGCCACACUGGGACUGAGACACGGCCCAGACUCCUACGGGAGGCAGCAGUGGGGAAUAUUGGACAAUGGGCGAAAGCCUGAUCCAGCAAUGCCGCGUGAGUGAUGAAGGCCUUAGGGUUGUAAAGCUCUUUUACCCGGGAUGAUAAUGACAGUACCGGGAGAAUAAGCUCCGGCUAACUCCGUG
rnacentral:rRNA from 1 species